rnacentral:rRNA from 1 species
GGCUCAGGAUGAACGCUAGCGACAGGCCUAACACAUGCAAGUCGAGGGGCAGCACAAGGAGCAAUCUGAGGUGGCGACCGGCGCACGGGUGAGUAACACGUAUGCAACCUGCCUGUAAGCGGGGAAUAACCCGUUGAAAGACGGACUAAUACCGCAUAAUACUAAAUUACUGCAUGGUAAUUUAUUUAAACAUUUAUGGCUUACAGAUGGGCAUGCGCAUGAUUAGCUAGUUGGAGAGGUAACGGCUCCCCAAGGCAACGAUCAUUAGGGGUUCUGAGAGGAAGGUCCCCCCACACUGGUACUGAGACACGGACCAGACUCCUACGGGAGGCAGCAGUGAGGAAUAUUGGUCAAUGGACGAGAGUCUGAACCAGCCAAGUCGCGUGCAGGAAGAAUUGUCCUAUGGAUUGUAAACUGCCUUUGCAGGGGAAUAAAGUGCAUCACGUGUGAUGUUUUGUAUGUACUCUGCGAAUAAGGAUCGGCUAACUCCGUGCCAGCCGCCGC